rnacentral:miRNA from 1 species
CUUGACACACUUUCUGAGCCAUU